ACGCAUGGAAACGUGUGCUAAUACCGUAUACGCCCUUCGGGGGAAAGAUUUAUCGGGGAUGGAUGAGCCCGCGUUGGAUUAGCUAGUUGGUGGGGUAAAGGCCUACCAAGGCGACGAUCCAUAGCUGGUCUGAGAGGAUGAUCAGCCACAUUGGGACUGAGACACGGCCCAAACUCCUACGGGAGGCAGCAGUGGGGAAUAUUGGACAAUGGGCGCAAGCCUGAUCCAGCCAUGCCGCGUGAGUGAUGAAGGCCCUAGGGUUGUAAAGCUCUUUCACCGGUGAAGAUAAUGACGGUAACCGGAGAAGAAGCCCCGGCUAACUUCGUGCCAGCAGCCGCGGUAAUACGAAGGGGGCUAGCGUUGUUCGGAAUUACUGGGCGUAAAGCGCACGUAGGCGGAUAUUUAAGUCAGGGGUGAAAUCCCGGGGCUCAACCCCGGAACUGCCUUUGAUACUGGGUAUCUAGAGUCCAGAAGAGGUGAGUGGAAUUCCGAGUGUAGAGGUGAAAUUC
rnacentral:rRNA from 1 species